CAGACUUUCAUUAACAGUACAACUUAUAGUAUAUUUACAAUACUAUUCACAACAUACUUGUCUCACACCUAUCUAUACUAAGACAGGGUUUACAAAAGGGAUGGGAUCUCAGUCCACAUCCGGGUUAUAUUCAAGAUCCCUCUCUGGAUCAUCUUCUUCUUCAAAAGUCUUUCUCCCCUUCAGGUUCCUCUUCCUUAACUUCUCCUCAGGGUCCUGAAAUAGUUAUUCAAUAACCAAUGAGACCAUGUCUCAGCGAGUCCUACCCCCUACGACUCGAUUAGUAAACUAAUACGCCAUACGGUUGCCUAAGCACAACACGAGUCAGAGGACUUACCUUGGCCUCAGAUUCCACCUGCAUAUUAGUACAUAUUAAAUAGGCACCCAAGCAAACCCAUCACAGAUCGAAGCAUCGAUCAAAUCGACCUAGUCGAUUACAUGUCAAUCAGACCAUCUCAUGGUCAUUUCCAAUCAAUCAGUCAAUUCAUAAUAUCAGAUCAAAGCAAUGAUCAAUCGACCUAGUCGAUUACAUAUCAACAAGACCACUUCUGGUCAUUUCAACUAUUCCAAUUCAAUUCCCAAUUAUGAAUCACGGUCCUUAAGACACAACUUAAUUAUAGGUGGUAAUCACGGCCCCACCGAGCAAUUUUCUUAGAUUUAGUGGCAUCACGGCCCCACUCGGCAAUGUUAUAUGUAGUGGCAUCACGGCCCCACUCGGCAACUUUCAAUAUGUAGUGGCAUCACGGCCCCACUCGGCAAUGUUAUAUGUAGUGGCAUCACGGCCCCACUCGGCAACUUUCACUAUGUAGUGGCAUCACGGCCCCACUCGGCAAUGUUAUAUGUAGUGGCAUCACGGCCCCACUCGGCAACUUUCAAUAUGUAAUGGCAUUAUCAACCGAUGCCCGGUUAUUCUUCAAUUAAUAACCAAAGAUGAUUCAAUUUAGGAAUAAAUCAUAAAAUCAUUGAUAAAUUCAAUUCCACACAACGUAGAGCUCAAAUAAAUAAAUGGGCUGCACCACGACAAUCAGCACGAAAUUCCGGUCACCGGCCAUCCCGGUUGAAUUUCCGGAAAAAUAAAUAAAUAAUUAAUUAAUUUCGAAAAUAAAUAAAUAAAUAUUAAAAAUCCAAUUUAGGCCCAUAUUGCCUUAUUGGAGCCCGAAACGGGUCGGGAAAAAUCCCGAUAUGCAUUCAAUAAAUAACCAAACAUUUCUACUUGCUAAUAUCUAGGUCUAACCACCUAACAUGCAUCAUUAAGUCACUAAAUUAAUUGUUCUAACCUAAUCUAACCACCUAAGUGCAUGUAAUUAAAUCUAACCAACCCUAAGGCAUAAUUAGCAAACUAAUAAAGCAUUAGUGAGUAAAACUCACUUGGAAAAAGCGGGGAUCGAAUCACCACGACGGCGACGCGACGGCGGCCGAAAUCGGACUUUCGACGACACCGGCGGACUUGGACCGGGCCUUAAGCUUAGGCCCAACAAAUCUCAGCCCAAUUGAGAUUUGUUCUUGCACUGGAAUGGGCUGGACCUGCUGAAUUUCUGGACUGAACUAACUGCGCUAGCUGAACUGGGCUUGCUGGUCUUGUGCUGAAUUCGGUGGCCCAAAGGACUGAAGCUCACGGGCUGGGCUUGCUGCAGGGCUUGGUCUUCGGAUGGGUUGCUGGAGUUGACCGGUCUAGCGGAAUACUCGAAGAAGCAGCUCGUUGCUGUUGCUAGGCGGAACACGAAAUCAACGCUGGUGGAGGGCGCUGGUUCGUUGAUCGUUGAAGAUGCGCAGGCAGUUGGCGGAGAGGCGCACAAAUUGUUGGUGAAGGCCACGCGUUGAGAAGAAGCGGACGAGGGCAGCUUCUUCAGUGGCUUCGCUCGAUGGUCAACAAAAAUGGGAGGAGAUCUGCUGCUGUUAACCGAAGAUGACGCGUGGAGAGGCUGGCCGAAACGGUGGAGGUUGAGAGGCUUCGGUGGAACAUGGAUGAAGAGAAGCAACACUUGUGGCGGUUGCUGAAGCCGUUGACGAAGGCUGGAGUUUUGAAGCCGCGUGGAGAUGGAUGAACCGCAGCAGUUUCGAUCAACACCUGGGGACUUCGCUUGAGGAAUUUCACUGAAGUUGACCAAGAGAGCAAGAGAUGGUGGAGCAGGGGUGAGCUGGCCGCGUGAGAGGGGGCAAACGGGCGAAGGGAGAGAGAGAUAUCGUGGGCUGUGUCUUCAGUGGGAUGGCAGAGAAGUGGAGUUGAGGAAGACACGCGGAGGAGGCUUUGCUUAUCUGGACUUCGACCGAAAGAAAAUGAAGCAGAAGCUGAGAC
rnacentral:lncRNA from 1 species